GGCAGCUCUGCAAGCGCUUCCAGCGGGCGUCGCUCUCCUCUCGCGGGUGGUACCUUCAUUCGGUCAUCCUGUGAGUGUUCCACUUCCCGACGGAGGCCGAGCACUCACACCGCGGCGGGGGUAACCGUCACCGCAGAACCGGGUGGCUGGCUCUCCUCCAGGGAGAAAGCCUGUCACUUACAGUUUACUCAACACUGUUAGGAAGUUACCUAGAAAAGUACAGACAGAAGACCUAGGCUUGCGUUUUAGAAUCGUGGAGUGUUAGCGCUGGCCAAAUCGUUGGACACAAUGUAAGCUUGAUCAGGAAAAUGAGCUCCAGGGUCUCACAGGCGGGGCCUGGAAUCUUGGCGCAAUCUGCGACCCUCACUGCCUCCUACAGUCGGGGCUGAGCGUUCUUUCAAACAGCCAAAGUAAUCACUUAAGUCCAGCAAUGAUCUCCUUGGAGAAGUCAAAAGAUCCUCCCUAAGAGACGGCCUUGGAGGGCAUCGCCCCUGGGGCUGGGCACAGCACGUCUUCCCGGCCCCGGCGCGGGAGGAGGGUUUGGGGACAGCGGCCGCACUCCGGACCCUUCUUCAGAUUGCACAGGAGGAGGCGGUAGCGGAACCUUUCUCCUCCGCCUGGUUCUCGCUUCCACCCGGGCCCAGUUGGGGACGGACGCACUAGAGGCGACCUAAACAUGGAGACAGCGGGCGCUGCAACUGGGCAGCCGGCCUCUGGGCUGGAGGCUCCGGGGUCCACGAAUGACCGGCUUUUCCUGGUUAAAGGUGGAAUUUUCCUUGGUACCGUUGCUGCAGCGGGAAUGCUAGCUGGAUUUAUUACAACAUUAUCAUUGGCUAAAAAGAAAAGCCCUGAAUGGUUCAAUAAGGGAAGUAUGGCCACGGCUGCAUUACCGGAAAGCGGGUCUUCCCUUGCCUUGCGAGCUCUGGGCUGGGGCUCACUGUAUGCAUGGUGUGGGGUUGGUGUGAUUAGCUUCGCAGUCUGGAAAGCUUUAGGAGUUCACAGUGAAAAUAUGACUGGCAGAUGGCUGAUGAGAAAAAAUUGGAAGGCAGUACUGUGGUGCUGCUGAAAUGUCUUCGUAGGAGGACCGUAUAGAUUAACCAGGAUGAAUCAGAGAGUGUGUUACUAGUACUGUCCAAUGUAAAGAUCACCUAACUUCCAUGAACGACUUUCGAAGUAAAAUGCAAUCAAUAUUUCCAACAAUUCCCAAGAACUCCGAAUCGGCUGUUGAGUGGGAGGAAACAUUGAAAUCCAAAUGAGAUGAGCAUGGAUGAAUUUCAAAAUGCUUGUUACAGAAAGGGGUGGCUCUGGAGACACCAUGACAGCAAAAGGACUGGACUGAUUUCUCCCAGGAACAUGGGCAGAUUGCUGACUGAACCAGUGCACUGGAUAGCAUUCGGCCUCAUCACAGGAGAGUAUGUGUGUGCGUGCUGGGGGAGGGUAAAGUUUUCCCACAGUUAAGAAGACUAUUUAAAAAUAGUAAUUACAGGAAUAACUUCCUUAUGUGGAGGGGACCCCAUAGGAAAUGAUUCUGUUUGUAACAGUUGAAGCAAAUUUCGUACUAAAAAAGUUUAUAAUAAAAGUAUGAUAAGAAAAUAUUUAUAAAACAGACCCCCUAAUAGCAAUAGUACUGCAAUGUGUCUAAUUAAAGGAAUUUCAAGAGCCUUUCUUGUCAAUAUAUGACAGAACUUGGAAGUCUUAUUCUGAUUAGCCAGACUACAAAGUGACAGUCACCUGGUAAGUCCUGUAUGGUAGGAAGUGGGUGUGGCUCUCGGGUCCUGAAUGUGGUCUGUGCUUUACAGCCAGCACACACAUGCUAGUUAUUUACCUGAUGCCCUUGCUUGAAGGCCCUAUAAAUUCUUAUACUUAAAACAAAAAGCCAGUAAUGAGUUGUGAUCACCCCAAAAGGCACAGUUGGGCUAAAAUAAUGAUGAUAUCAGGGGUAAACAUAUUUUUUUGAGAAGUUGGUCUGGAUCUCUGAACACUGACAAUUUGUCAUUUUGUCUCAGUUGUCAAAGUAAAAAAAGCCCAGUUGUCAUCCGUCUUCAAUAUUUUUAACCAGAAAGUCACCUGAGUACUGAGUCCCAAUAUAAAGUAUUUGGGACCACCUCCCUAACAAAGCUGUUAGGGUAAAUUCUGUGUGCACACCCAACUCCCUCCUGUCUUCCACAGUCUCCUACAAAAAAAAACAGAUGGAGAAUAAUGUCUACAUGCAAUUAUUUUUACUGCAAUUGUAUUUUAAAAUAUUUUCAAGAAGAGAAAUACUUUAAUAUGUCAAUAUGUCCAGAGAAAAAACCUGUAGUUAAAUAUCAGUUGUGCAAUUUCUUCCUACUUGCCUAGGCUCUAAUUAGUCAGCAAUCAGGUUUAAUAAAGGACAUUUGAAAUUUC